ensembl:lncRNA
AGAGAGACAGAACACACACACACACAGAGAGAGAGAGAGAGAAAACAUGUUCUAGUCACAUGUGGUCACGGCUGAUGUUUAAAACCCCAGAGUCAGUGGAGAGUAGAUUGGGUCCGGUAUGUGUCAGAUAGUUUAGUGUUGUUUAGUGUGGUGUAGUUUAAUUUAGUGUAGUUCUGGCUCUGGUAUGUGUCAGAUAGUGUAGUGUUGUUUAGUGUGGUGUAGUUUAAUUUAGUGUAGCUCUGGUAUGUGUCGGAUAGUGUAGUGUUGUUUAGUGUGGUGUAGUUUAAUUUAGUGUGGUGUAGUUUAAUUUAGUGUAGUUCUGGGCGUCUGAGUGGCCCUGGGAUGGGUUGGGUGGAGUAGGGCGGGCUUACACACAUUACUCACACACUCACACUCACACACACUCAAUACUCUUAUUAGCAGUGCUGCCUGUAAGCUCCCCCAUAUACAGGUGUGUGUGUGUGUGUGUGUGCGUGUGCCGCCUAACCACCAGUCUGGUUUUAGUUAUUUAUUUUAUAUUUGCGUAUGCCAGUCGAAUUGUAAACAAAUACAACAAGGAAACAUAAAAAUUAAACAAAGCCACCUUUAAAAAAAAAAAAGACACACGGAAGCUUCUAGAAGGUUCCCAUUUCCGAGCCCCAGCGGUCAGCGCAGUUGCAGCUCCCUUCAAACAGACCCCAACCUGACAUCAUUCCCUUACUGUGGCUCACCAAGGACACUAUUAAUAAUGGGGUGCAUUUUCUCCUUAUGGGUUGACUGCCAUAUCUUAAUAUAUAUUUAUAAUAUCUGAAUCGGAUUGAUUGCUGAAAAUAAUUACACUAAUACUGUAUGCAUAAUAUGCUGACGAAUUGGCAGAAAAUAAAGUGAAGGCUUCACGGUACCAUGGAGGAACCCUGUAGAAGCGGCUCUGCUGUUCUCUCAAGGUUCUCUAAGGGUUCUCUAAAGGUUCUCUAAGGGUUCUCUGCUGUUCUCUAAGGGUUCUCUGCUGUUCUCUAAAGGUUCUCUAAGGGUUCUCUGCUGUUCUCUAAGGGUUCUCUAAGGGUUCUCUGCUGUUCUUUGAGGGUCAGUUCGUUUCAUUUGGUUCAAUGCCAUACUGUCACUGCCGACUGGGUUCCCGUGUAGGUAGCUAGUGGGAGUGAAAUGGGAGUGGGUGAUUUGAGGUGGUGGCCUAUGAGGGCUAUUCUGGUGUGAUUUAAAGUAAUUAGUUUUACGCUUUUUAGCAUCAACUUUACUUUACAGAGGCUGAGACAUGUCAAGCA